CCUCAGGUACUCUCUUUUCCCACAUAUCUCUAAAGAAAGAGAACGAAAUAAAAAGAAAAAGGAGUGAAAAGAAAAAAAAUGUUCAAUCUAUAUGGAAAAAGGUGUUACCUUUCAAAUUUUCUUACUUUUCCUUUGUUUUCCUUGAUUUUUUUCUUUGUGUUCCCUGGUUUGUCCUUUAUUUUUUUCAUCCUCAGGCAUCUCAAUUGGGUG
rnacentral:lncRNA from 1 species